rnacentral:tRNA from 1 species
CCUUCGAUAGCUCAGUUGGUAGAGCGGAGGACUGUAGGUCCUUAGGUUGCAGGUUCACCUCCGGCUCGAAGGA